CAGCCGCCGCGGGAAUACGUAGGUGGCAGGCGUUGUCCGGAAUUAUUGGGCGUAAAGGGCUCGCAGGCGGUUUCUUAAGUCUGAUGUGAAAGCCCCCGGCUCAACCGGGGAGGGUCAUUGGAAACUGGGAAACUUGAGUGCAGAAGAGGAGAGUGGAAUACCACGUGUAGCGGUGAAAUGCGUAGAGAUGUGGAGGAACACCAGUGGCGAAGGCGACUCUCUGGUCUGUAACUGACGCUGAGGAGCGAAAGCGUGGGGAGCGAACAGGAUUAGAUACCCCUGUAGUCCCUGUCUCUUAUAC
rnacentral:rRNA from 1 species